rnacentral:rRNA from 1 species
AGUGAACGCUGGCGGUAGGCCUAACACAUGCAAGUCGAACGGCAGCACAGUAAGAGCUUGCUCUUACGGGUGGCGAGUGGCGGACGGGUGAGGAAUACAUCGGAAUCUACUUUUUCGUGGGGGAUAACGUAGGGAAACUUACGCUAAUACCGCAUACUACCUACGGGUGAAAGCAGGGGAUCUUCGGACCUUGCGCGAUUGAAUGAGCCGAUGUCGGAUUAGCUAGUUGGCGGGGUAAAGGCCCACCAAGGCGACGAUCCGUAGCUGGUCUGAGAGGAUGAUCAGCCACACUGGAACUGAGACACGGUCCAGACUCCUACGGGAGGCAGCAGUGGGGAAUAUUGGGCAAUGGGCGCAAGCCUGAUCCAGCCAUACCGCGUGGGUGAAGAAGGCCUUCGGGUUGUAAAGCCCUUUUGUUGGGAAAGAAAAGCAGCAGGUUAAUACCCCGAUGUUCUGACGGUACCCAAAGAAUAAGCACCGGCUAACUUCGUG